GUUCUCAAAUCUAGGAAUGAAGCUGAUUUUAUAUUUUUUGGUUCUCGCUGCAUACGUCGGCAGUUCUUUAGCUCUUAAACAUGAGGUGUGCGGAAUGCCACAUGUUAAACAAGGAACUAAUGGUGGAUUCACCUGCAUGGCUUACUACGAAAGAUGGUCCUAUAAUACAGUGACCAAGGAAUGCUCAAUGUUUAUGUACGGAGGCUGCGGUGGAAAUGCUAAUAGUUUUUUGAACCGAAAAGAUUGUGAGGACAAGUGCCUAGAAUGAAUACCCAAAGAAUAAAGCAUGAUAGGUUAACGUGUUCCAA